GGGGCUGUAGCUCAGUGGUAGAGUACUCGCCUAGCACGUGUGAGGCCCUGGGUUCAAUCCUCAGCACCA
rnacentral:tRNA from 1 species